rnacentral:rRNA from 1 species
CAGCUCGUGUCGUGUAGAUGUUCGGUUAAGUCCGCUAACGAGCGCAACCCUCGUCGUAUGUUAUAUGUGUCAUACGAGACUGCCGGUAAAAAGACCGGAGGAAGGUGAGGAUGAUGUCAAGUCAGCAUGACCUUUAUAUCCAGGGCUACACACACGCUACAAUGGUCUGUACAAUGGGUAGCCAAGCCGCGAGGCGGAGCCAAUCCUGAAAGCAGGCCUCAGUUCAGAUUGCAGUCUGCAACUCGACUGCAUGAAGCCGGAGUUGCUAGUAACCGCAGGUCAGCAAUACUGCGGUGAAUACGUUCCCGGGUCUU